UCUGUUUCUCUUCUUGGUAUCUUGGUGCCACUGCUCUACUGCCAGGAUGAUUUCCUGCAUAUGGAAAACUCAUCUUAGAUAAAGGAGCAUUGAAAUCAUCAGAUGAAAAGAUUCUCUCAUCAGACUGGAUGCCCAGCACAGUCUCCACUAUAGAAAACCCACGAGGAGAGUGGCCUGGAUAUGAUGUGAUAUUGGCUAAGUCGAAACAUUGUCACACACAUGCACUUAGGAGGCAGCCAACAAGCCCAGAGGUUGAGAACACCUACUUUGCAUACACAGUCUGAGUAAGGAAACAAACCAGCAUCCCAGAUGAUUUUCAGAACUUUAUAAAUCUCCAUAUAGAGAAUUGUGGACCUUUGAAAGAGGGCAAGUCCAAGAAGAAGAGUGCACCUGGUCACCCCCAAUAUAAAUCCAUCUUUGGAACCAGUGGCUAGCAGAAAUAUGCAAGAAGCAGAUAAAGUGGCACAUCAGAUCCACACAGUAAACAACGCCUUCUUGGAGAAACUUUGUUUUAUCAAAUGAAGAACAUAAGAGCACACAGCAGAAUUGAGUUUUGAAUUUUAUUUUGUUUCUUUGUCUUUGUAAUUUAUGAUCUCAUCAUUCUUCAGCAGUACUCAGUGAUUAAUGGCGGACUGAAUAAACACUUCGGCAGUGACUUUAAGGCUAGCAGAAACUGGAAUCUGAGGUCAGGCAGAGAGGAAGCAUCCUGCUGUCUGGGAAACUCCAAAAGCAAAUUAAAAACUCAGGGAAGAACACAGAGCUUUGAUCCUGAUCACAAAAUCAUCAACAACAUAAAUGUGAAAUUUUUACUGCAUAGAAACCAUAUCAGGCCCGUGAGCCACAUCAGUAAGAAACAGACAGUGCCAAGCACUGUGUACCCUCUGCACCUUGGGAGAAAAGGUGAUGAACCUGGUUUCUAGGCGGGAUGGAUAUUUAUGGUAAUGGUGGGCAUAUAAACACAAUCCCAUAUUAAGAAGCAGCGUCUUUAACUGCAAUGUCAGUUGGCAGCACUGGCAUAAUUCCUCUGGGGGUUUCUUUGUGGUGGCUGAGAAUAUGACUAAUGACAAACAGCUAAACUGUUAUUACACUUCUCUAAUAAGUUGGUGUUAUACUAAAACCAUGCCGUAGUCCCUGGAUCAAAUUCUGCUACAUAUUUGAUCUUUUUGCCCUUAUAGUAGUUAGAUUUUCUUUCUGUUUACUUUCGAAUAUCUGUCAAUGAAUAUUGCUUUUGGUUAAUAGAUUUUUCUUGUAACUAUUGUCUUUGUUUUUUGAAAACUGAGCAGAGGGAGACAAAAUCUCCUGAAACUGCAGCCGUGGAACUGCCCCAUCCCUAUCUAAUAAAGUACUCCACCAAAAAAUGAUCCUCAGAUUUUUGUAAAUCUGAGAAUUCCUGUAUGGAUAUUUUUUCAAUCUAUACAUCAGUGUAGGGGUUUUGAGGCCCAAGGAUUUUAAAAAUGUAAUGCUAGUUUGAGGAUUUAAACCGUAAAAUAUUUUUAGCUUUAUGCCACCAUGCAAUCUUUGUUUUCCUAUGGGCACCUCUAUUUCAAAAUAAUAGUAUUUCCAUAGUAACCUUACCCAGAAUUACAUAGAAUGCAUGGUGCUUGUGAUGUCAGCAGAGCGACUGCAAAAAAAAUUGGCUUGGGCAAUUACAGGGUAUCUGAGUUUCCAGGUAGACUCUAGCACUUGUGCUUUCUAAACACCGUUUGUUUUGGGACUUCCUAGCUUAAGAAUUCUUGCUUUCUGAUUCAUAAUUUCUGAUCACAAUUUAAAAAUUGUAUAAAACUCAGUCUGACUUACGGUUGUGGCUCGUUUUUGAUUAUGUGUAUCUCUCAGUCAUUUUCAUCUAUCUUAAUGUCUUCUUCUAGUAAGCAGAAAAAUAUUGUUAAAUAAAUUACCUCUGGAAAAUCCUCUCAUGAAUGGCUGGGGUGCAAUCAAGAAUGUGCUUCUGAGUCAGAUACUGCUUCCCUCCUUAUUCAUUGGUCAGAAGUCCUGCCCAAUAGUAGCGCAUU